rnacentral:rRNA from 1 species
GAUGAACGCUGGCGGCGUGCCUAAUACAUGCAAGUCGAGCGAACAGACGAGGAGCUUGCUCCUCUGACGUUAGCGGCGGACGGGUGAGUAACACGUGGAUAACCUACCUAUAAGACUGGGAUAACUUCGGGAAACCGGAGCUGAUACCGGAUAAUAUAUUGAACCGCAUGGUUCAAUAGUGAAAGACGGUUUUGCUGUCACUUAUAGAUGGAUCCGCGCCGCAUUAGCUAGUUGGUAAGGUAACGGCUUACCAAGGCGACGAUGCGUAGCCGACCUGAGAGGGUGAUCGGCCACACUGGAACUGAGACACGGUCCAGACUCCUACGGGAGGCAGCAGUAGGGAAUCUUCCGCAAUGGGCGAAAGCCUGACGGAGCAACGCCGCGUGAGCGAUGAAGGUCUUCGGAUCGUAAAACUCUGUUAUUAGGGAAGAACAAAUGUGUAAGUAACUAUGCACGUCUGGACGGUACCUAAUCAGAAAGCCACGGCGAACUACGU